UACAGAGGGUGCGAGCGUUGUUCGGAAUUAUUGGGCGUAAAGCGCAUGUAGGCGGCAGCGCAAGUCGGGCGUGAAAUCCCACGGCUCAACCGUGGAAGUGCACUCGAAACUGCGCAGCUAGAGUCCUGGAGAGGAAGGUGGAAUGCUUGGUGUAGAGGUGAAAUUCGUAGAUAUCAAGCGGAACACCGGUGGCGAAGGCGGCCUUCUGGACAGUGACUGACGCUGAGAUGCGAAAGCGUGGGGAGCAAACAGG
rnacentral:rRNA from 1 species